GCAUAAGCUUUGAACAAGAGUGAUCUGUCCGAAAAUUAUCAGAGAAGAGAUAGUUUUGCUGUGAUAUCUCAUGAUUUUUGGUAUGAGAAGUAGCUUGUGAGCUGUCCGGCUGAAAUAAUAGUAAGCUGGGCCGAAACCUGUUCGUUAACGAGGAAAGAGCGGGGUAAAAACCCAACUUAGGUGGUACCACGGCACAGUCGUCCUAUAU
rnacentral:ncRNA from 1 species